CUCUAGUCCCCUCUCUCCUCCGCCUUGCCUGAGCUCUGGAACAAGGCCGCAUGUGGCGAUUCUGUUUCUGGAGUAAGGGCGCGGUCGGGUUGAGGAAGGCGCGGUGAAGGCCUUUGUUUGGCCUUUUGGUUUUGUCUCCGGGAGGCGAAGGCUCUCCUAGCUUCGUCGACGCCGGUUCCUGUUCCCGAGAGGUGGAGGCUUCGUCAGCUCUGUCCUCGUCGGUCUAGAUCACGGGGGGUGAAGGCGUUCCAUGCCUUACCUCGCCGUCUGGUGCUCCCCUAGUUCCGUUUUAGGGUUAGUCUGUUCUUUCCUUUUGGUUUUACGGUUUUGGUUUGGGUUGGAUUGGGUGGCGGCGACGUCGGAGGACGAUCGAAGCUCGACCUUGGUUAACGAUAAGGGUUCGCGUGAAGCCUUCCUCGCGGUGACUGUAAUGAAUGGCGACGGAUGAGAUCUCGAACAGUCGAUUGAUUCUCUCUGGUUUGGGUUUCACUUGAGUGGAAGACGUUUACGGCGAGAUGGUAUGGAGUCUGUGAGUUCCGAUGGAUCCGGGUGAAUCGACGGUUGGUUACCCGGUGGACUCUCGAAGCGAGUGCAACGCCGGAGCCGCAGCGUUUGUCCGCGCGGCGGCGGAGUCUCGUGGUCACGAGUUUAGGGUUGCGUUGUUGGGCCUUGGGCCGGUGUCUUAUUUUAAUUUUGGCCCGUCUUUCUUGGGCUUUUGUAUUUUGGUCUAUGGGGGUUUUUGGCCCUUUAAUCAAAUUUUAAUCGACGGA
rnacentral:lncRNA from 1 species